GACGAACGCUGGCGGCGUGCUUAACACAUGCAAGUCGAACGGUGAAGCGAGUGCUUGCACUCGUUGAUCAGUGGCGAACGGGUGAGUAACACGUGAGUAACCUGCCCAUCACUCUGGGAUAAGCACUGGAAACGGUGUCUAAUACUGGAUACGACCAACCCUUGCAUGGGGUGUUGGUGGAAAGAUUUAUCGGUGAUGGAUGGACUCGCGGCCUAUCAGCUUGUUGGCGGGGUAAUGGCCCACCAAGGCGACGACGGGUAGCCGGCCUGAGAGGGUGACCGGCCACACUGGGACUGAGACACGGCCCAGACUCCUACGGGAGGCAGCAGUGGGGAAUAUUGCACAAUGGGCGAAAGCCUGAUGCAGAGACGCCGCGUGAGGGAUGACGGCCUUCGGGUUGUAAACCUCUUUCAGCAGGGAAGAAGCGAAAGUGACGGUACCUGCAGAAGAAGCACCGGCUAACUACGUG
rnacentral:rRNA from 1 species